CAGGGUGGGAGCUCCCCGCACAGCAGCGCCCCACUCCAGGCACCCUCUCUGGGCGUCUCUCUGCUGAGAGCUGGGACAGGAGGGCAGAGCACCACCUUGUCUGACCUCAGCUGGGGAUGCGCGCAUCCACCGACUCCAAAGUUUAGCCGCUCUGCGCAUGUCCGCGAAUGAUCGCGAGAACGCCGCGAGUCUUCAUUGGGCGGUUACAAAUAACUUUUAGCGAACAGGCGAAUUCGCAAAGAUGGAAUCCGCGGGUAGAGAGGGUCGACUGUACUUGUUUCUCUCUCCUGUGUUUCUGGUAAUCUGGACGUUAAUUCUAAAGGCGUGACGGACAAAAAGAAGUAUCUGCAAAAGUAACAGGAGGGCUGGCGGAGUAAAAGUCAGGGACCGCUGGAAGCUGCUGCCACUACCACGGUUUCUACCAUUAGAACUGCCACUCCCACCCCCACAGCUGGUGACCAGGCGCUGGGAUGCCCAGUCUAGCCAGCGCCGUGUCUCUUAACUUUGCUCUGGCAGACGCUGCUGGCGGAAAUUCGGCCUGGGCCACCUCACCUUCUCUUCCAGCCUCACCCUCCUCCUGCUCCGGGAUAUUUCUGGCACUAAGAGCUGACUGCUGCCUCCCCUGCUCACAGCCCCGCCAUGGCUCCCAAGCACCCUCAGGGGAGACAAACUGCUCGGAAUGGUGUUGGAGGUCUGGGCUGUCCCAUCUCAAAUGUCCCAAUCCCAAAUUCAGAUACUGCAUGUGACAUUCUGCAUCCAAUUCCUCUUCUCCCCCAAGCCUCUGCCCCAAGGUCCCCUCUACCCAGAAUGCCUUUCUCUUGUCACCAUGGCCACCAUUCUGGUCUCCCAGACAACCCCUCUCAGGUUCUGGUGGCUUGUCUCCCCUCUCUAGCUCAGAGACCCAGGAAAGGGAGAGAGAGGUCACGUGAAUGAACGCGUGUGGCUCAGUCCCCAUGGCCAUGAACUUUCAGGAAGCUCAGCAAUGAGAAGACACAGGAUUCCCCAAUCCCAGAGCCCGGCCUUCGCCCCGGACCGUGACUCCGGCCUCUGAGACCAAAUAAAUGUGACCGAUCAGCACACCGUGCUCCAUCCCACUGCCCCACCCGUCACAGCCUCGCCGGCUCUGCUUCAGGGCCAGGCCCCUGGGUCUGAGGGAGGAGGGGCUGGGGCUGGACUCCUG
rnacentral:lncRNA from 1 species